rnacentral:rRNA from 1 species
CCUACGGGUGGCAGCAGUGGGGAAUAUUGGGCAAUGGGCGCAAGUCUGACCCAGCAACGCCGCGUGAAGGAAGAAGGCCCUCGGGUUGUAAACUUCUUUUAUCAAGGACGAAACAAAUGACGGAACUUUUUAAUUAGGCCAGGGCUAACAACGUGCCAGCACCCGCGGUAAUACGUAGGUGGCAAGCGUUAUCCGAAUUGACUGGGUGUAAAGGGCGUGCAGGCGGGACGGCAAGUCAGAUGUGAAAACCAUGGGCUCAACCCAGGGACUGCAUUUGAAACUGUAGUUCUUGAGGGUUGGAGAGGCAGGCGGAAGUCCGAGUGUAGCGGUGAAAUGCGUAGAUAUAAGGAGGAACACCAGUGGCGAAGGCGGAUUGCUGGACAAUAACUGACGCUGAGGCGCGAAAGCGUGGGGAGCAAACAGGAUUAGAUACCCUUGUAGUC